rnacentral:rRNA from 1 species
GAUGAACGCUAGCGGCGGGCUUAAUACAUGCAAGUCGAACGAGGUAUUUUGAUUGAAGUUUUCGGAUGGAUCUCAAGAUACCGAGUGGCGGACGGGUAAGUAACGCGUGGGUAACCUGCCUCAUACAGGGGGAUAACGGUUAGAAAUGAAUGCAAAUACCGCAUAAGCGCACAGUACCGCAUGGUACGGUGUGAAACAAUCCGUUGGUAUGGGAUGGACCCGCGUCUGAUUAGCUAGUUGGUGGGGUAACGGCCCACCAAGGCGACGAUCAGUAGCCGACCUGAGAGGGUGAUCGGCCACAUUGGGACUGAGACACGGCCCAGACUCCUACGGGAGGCAGCAGUGGGGGAUAUUGCACAAUGGAGGAAACUCUGAUGCAGCGACGCCGCGUGAGUGAAGAAGUAUUUCGGUAUGUAAAGCUCUAUCAGCAGGGAAGAAAAUGACGGUACCUGACUAAGAAGCCCCGGCUAACUACGUGCCAGCCGCCGCCGUAACAC